CUUCUGAUCAGUUUACUGACAUACGUACUUGGAGCGUAUGUAGUCUGUGUGCAGUAUAACACAAGCACAUUAUAUAAUUUUCGAGUGCAGUGGAAUUCUGGUCUAUAGCAGACAAAAGUCUAAAUCAGAAAUUUGAACCUGAACUUUGCGGCUGGAAGAGGUUGCAUCUGAUGGAGCAUUUGUAACUUGGGCCGGUCAGUAGUUUAUAAUGCAGUACAAUGGAAGCUGUGCAUGAUAACAGAGCAUUUUAAUGUGCAAAUUCCAGCCCUGGCAUGAGCAAACUUUGGGUGAAGCAGAGGAGUUUGUUUUCAAAAGAAUGUGGAAAGGGGGGGGAAGAGGUUGGGAUCAGGAAGAGGUGUUUUUUACCUUACCGGUUUUAUUUUCAGCUGGCUAUUCUCCUACUGGAGUUCCACUUUAUAUUAUAAAUUAUCAGUUUCCUUUUUUUUUCACCCUUCCUUUGGCAACCAUGGGAUGGUCGUUGUUGCUGAGCUCAUAAUUUCACUGCAUGUGCCACCCUACCGAUCAAAAUGAAAAGGCCUGCGGCUGACCGGGCUACAAGAAGACAAAGCAGUGUGACACGGGACACUUCCUUCCUGUCCCAAAUAGCUGAAAGAAGACACCUGAAACCACAAGUACACAAAAGCUUCACAGAGCUGAUCCAGGGCUGCUAUGUUCACAUUCUCAGUGAAUACAGUAGGAUGGAGAUGAGAUGGGAUGCGGGGACCUUUUAACAUCCCAAAGCAUUUGAAGAUCACUGGGCCUUUCCUGUCCUUGAGAAAACAGCAACACAAGAGGACACCUGAAACAACAACCUCCUCCCUUCCUCAUAUCU